rnacentral:rRNA from 1 species
CAGUAGCCACGGGAAUACAGAGGGUGCGAGCGUUAAUCGGAUUUACUGGGCGUAAAGCGUGCGUAGGCGGCUUCUUAAGUCGGAUGUGAAAUCCCUGAGCUUAACUUAGGAAUUGCAUUCGAUACUGGGAAGCUAGAGUAUGGGAGAGGAUGGUAGAAUUCCAGGUGUAGCGGUGAAAUGCGUAGAGAUCUGGAGGAAUACCGAUGGCGAAGGCAGCCAUCUGGCCUAAUACUGACGCUGAGGUACGAAAGCAUGGGGAGCAAACAGGAUUAGAGACCCGCGUAGUCCCUGUCUCUUAUAU